AAUGAACGCUGGCGGCAGGCUUAACACAUGCAAGUCGAGCGAGCGGCGGACGGGUGAGUAAUGUCUGGGAAACUGCCUGAUGGAGGGGGAUAACUACUGGAAACGGUAGCUAAUACCGCAUACCAUCAGAUGUGCCCAGAGGGGAUUAGCUAGUAGGUGGGGUAAUGGAUCACCUAGGCGACGAUCCCUAGCUGGUCUGAGAGGAUGACACGCCACACUGGAACUGAGACACGGUCCAGACUCCUACGGGAGGCAGCAGUGGGGAAUCUUGCACAAUGGGCGAAAGCCUGAUGCAGCCAUGCCGCGUGUGUGAAGAAGGCCUUCGGGUUGUAAAGCACUUUCAGCGAGGAGGCGGUACUCGAAGAAGAAGCACCGGCUAACUCCGUGCCAGCAGCCGCGGUAAGUC
rnacentral:rRNA from 1 species